UCUUUUAAAGUAAAUUUACAUUUAAUUUCGACUUAAAUCUUGAUUAAUAUAUUAAUCUAAAAGAA
rnacentral:tRNA from 1 species